UACGUAGGGUGCAGGCGUUAAUCGGAAUUACUGGGCGUAAAGCGUGCGCAGGCGGUUUGUUAAGACAGGUGUGAAAUCCCCGGGCUUAACCUGGGAACUGCGCUUGUUACUGGCAAGCUGGAGUGUGGCAGAGGGGGGUGGAAUUCCACGUGUAGCAGUGAAAUGCGUAGAGGAUGUGGGAGGAACACCGAUGGCGAAGGCAGCCCCCUGGGCUAACACUGACGCUCAUGCACGAAAGCGUG
rnacentral:rRNA from 1 species